UACGUAGGGGGCUAGCGUUGUCCGGAUUUAUUGGGCGUAAAGAGCGUGUAGGCGGCCAGAUAGGUCCGUUGUGAAAACUGGAGGCUUAACCUCCAGCUGUCGAUGGAAACCAUCUGGCUAGAGUCCGGAAGAGGAGAGUGGAAUUCCUGGUGUAGCGGUGAAAUGCGCAGAUAUCGGGAGGAACACCGGUGGCGAAGGCGGUUCUCUGGGCCUUACCUGACGCUGAGGAGCGAAAGCGUGGGGAGCGAACAGG
rnacentral:rRNA from 1 species